rnacentral:rRNA from 1 species
CUACGGGCCGCUGCAGUGAGGAAUAUUGCGCAAUGGGGGAAACCCUGACGCAGCGACGCCGCGUGGAUGAUGAAGGCCUUCGGGUUGUAAAAUCCUGUCAGAUGGGAAGGACUGUUACAUGUCUAAUAUAUGUGUAACCUGACGGUACCAUCAAAGGAAGCACCGGAUAACUCCGUGCCAGCAGCCGCGGUAAUACGGAGGGUGCAAGCGUUGUUCGGAAUUACUGGGCGUAAAGCGCGCGUAGGCGGCUAUGUAAGUCAGAUGUGAAAGCCCAUGGCUUAACCAUGGACGUGCAUUUGAUACUGCAUGGCUUGAGUACUGGAGGGGGUGGUGGAAUUCCCGGUGUAGAGGUGAAAUUCGUAGAUAUCGGGAGGAAUACCGGUGGCGAAGGCGACCACCUGGCCAGAUACUGACGCUGAGGUGCGAAAGCGUGGGGAGCAAACAGGAUAGAUACCCCAGUAGUC